rnacentral:rRNA from 1 species
GAUGAACGCUGGCGGCGUGCCUAAUACAUGCAAGUCGAGCGAACAGACGAGGAGCUUGCUCCUCUGUCGUUACCGACGGACGGGUGAGUAACACGUGGAUAACCUACCUAUAAGACUGGGAUAACUUCGGGAAACCGUAGCUAAUACCGGAUAAUAUAUUGAACCGCAUGGUUCAAUAGUAAAAGACGGUUUUUAUGUCACUUAUACAUGGAUCCGCGCCGCAUUAGCUAGUUGGUAAGGUAACGGCUUACCAAGGCAACGAUGCGUAGCCGACCUGAGAGCGUCAACGCCCACACGGGAAGUGAGACACGGUCCAGACUCCGGCGGGAGGCAGCAGUAGGGAAUCCUCCGCAAUGGGCGAAAGCGGGACGGAGCAACGCCGCGUGAGUGAUGAAGGUCUUCGGAUCGGAAAACUCUGUUAUUAGGGAAGAACAAAUGUGUAAGUAACUAUGCCCGUCUUGACGGUACCUAAUCAGAAAGCCACGGCUAACUACGUG